rnacentral:rRNA from 1 species
UGGGGAAUUUUGCACAAUGGGGGAAACCCUGAUGCAGCGACGCCGCGUGAUUUAGAAGGCCUUCGGGUUGUAAAAAUCUUUUUUACGGGAUGAAAAUGACAGUACCGUAAGAAUAAGGUCCGGCUAAAUACGUGCCAGCAGCCGCGGUAAUACGUAUGGACCGAGCGUUGUCCGGAAUCAUUGGGCGUAAAGGGUACGUAGGCGGCCUAGUAAGUUAGAAGUGAAAUAAUAUAGCUCAACUAUAUAAAGCUUUUAAAACUGCUAGGCUUGAGAGCUGGAAGGGAAAGUGGAAUUCCUAGUGUAGCGGUGAAAUGCGCAGAUAUUAGGAAGAAUACCGGUGGCGAAGGCGACUUUCUGGUCAUCAUCUGACGCUGAGGUACGAAAGCGUGGGUAGCAAACAGG